GACGAACGCUGGCGGCGUGCUUAACACAUGCAAGUCGAACGGAAAGGCCUGCUUUCCCUUGUGGAUUGCGGGUACUCGAGUGGCGAACGGGUGAGUAACACGUGAGUGAUCUGCCCCCAACUUGGGUAUAAGCCUGGGAAACUGGGUCUAAUUCCCGAUAGGACUGCAGGGUGGUGCCUGUGGUGGAAAACGAUUUUCUAGUGGUUGGGGAUGAGCUCGCGGCCUAUCAGCUUGUUGGUGGGGUAAUGGCCUACCAAGGCGGCGACGGGUAGCCGGCCUGGGAGGGUGGACGGGCACAUUGGGACUGGGAUACGGCCCAGACUUCUACGGGAGGCAGCAGUGGGGAAUAUUGCACAAUGGGCGGAAGCCUGAUGCAGCGACGCCGCGUGGGGGAUGACGGCCUUCGGGUUGUAAACUCCUUUCGACCGCGAGGAAGCCACCUGGUUGGAAGGGUGGUGACGGUAGUGGUAGAAGAAGCACCGGCUAACUACGUG
rnacentral:rRNA from 1 species